GAUUUGCGGAGCUAACACAUGCAAGUCGGACGGUAGCACAGAGGAGCUUGCUCCUUGGGUGACGAGUGGCGGACGGGUGAGUAGUGUCUGGGGAUCUGCCCGAUAGAGGGGGAUAACCACUGGAAACGGUGGCUAAUACCGCAUAACGUCGCAAGACCAAAGAGGGGGACCUUCGGGCCUCUCACUAUCGGAUGAACCCAGAUGGGAUUAGCUAGUAGGCGGGGUAAUGGCCCCCCUACGCCACUAUCCCUAUCUGGUCUGAGAGGAUGACCAGCCACACUGGAACUGACACACGGUCCACACUCCUACGGGAGGCAGCAGUGGGGAAUAUUGCACAGUGGGCGCAAGCCUGAUGCACCCGUGCCGCGUGUAUGAAAAAGGCCUUCGGGUUGUAAAGUACUUUCAGCGGGGAAGAAGGCGGUGCGGUUAAUAACCGCCCCUAUUGACUUUACCCGCAAAAAAAGCACCGGCUAACUCCGUGCCAGCACCCGCGGUAAUACAGAGGGUGCAAGCGUUAAUCAGAAUUACUGGGCGUAAAGCGCACGCGCGCGGUCUGUUAACUCAUAUGUGAAAUCCCCGGGCUUAACCUGGGAACUGCUUUUGAAACUGGCGGGCUUGACUCGUGUAGAGGGGGGUAGAAUUCCGUGUGUAGCGGUGAAGUGCGUAGAGAUCUGGAAGAAUACCGGUGGCGAACGCGGCCCCCUGGACAAAGACUGACUCUCAUGUGCGAAAGCGUGGAGAGCAAACAAGAUUAUAUACCCUGGUACUCCACGCCGUACACGAUGUCCACGUGGAGGUUGUGCCCUUGACGCGUGUCUUCCAGAGCUAACGCGUUAACUCCACCGCCUGGAGAGUACCGCCGCAGUGUUAAACUCAUAUGAUUUGACGGGCGCCCGCACAAGCGGUGGAGCAUGUGGUUUUAUUUCUAUGCACGCGAAAAUCUUACCUAC
rnacentral:rRNA from 1 species